AUCGAAAGAAAUGUUGCAUUGAA
rnacentral:siRNA from 1 species